AUUGAACGCUGGCGGCAGGCCUAACACAUGCAAGUCGAGCGGAUGAAGGGAGCUUGCUCCUGGAUUCAGCGGCGGACGGGUGAGUAAUGCCUAGGAAUCUGCCUGGUAGUGGGGGAUAACGUCCGGAAACGGGCGCUAAUACCGCAUACGUCCUGAGGGAGAAAGUGGGGGACCUUCGGACCUCACGCUAUCAGAUGAGCCUAGGUCGGAUUAGCUAGUUGGUGGGGUAAAGGCCUACCAAGGCGACGAUCCGUAACUGGUCUGAGAGGAUGAUCAGUCACACUGGAACUGGAACACGGUCCAGACUCCUACGGGAGGCAGCAGUGGGGAAUAUUGGACAAUGGGCGAAAGCCUGAUCCAGCCAUGCCGCGUGUGUGAAGAAGGUCUUCGGUUUGUAAAGCACUUUAAGUUGGGAGGAAGGGCAGUAAGUUAAUACCUUGCUGUUUUGACGUUACCAACAGAAUAAGCACCGGCUAACUUCGUG
rnacentral:rRNA from 1 species